AGGGAAUCUUCCGCAAUGGACGAAAGUCUGACGGAGCAACGCCGCGUGAGUGAUGAAGGUUUUCGGAUCGUAAAGCUCUGUUGCCAGGGAAGAACGUCUUCUGGAGUAACUGCCAGGAGAGUGACGGUACCUGAGAAGAAAGCCCCGGCUAACUACGUGCCAGCAGCCGCGGUAAUACGUAGGGGGCAAGCGUUGUCCGGAAUUAUUGGGCGUAAAGCGCGCGCAGGCGGCUGUUAAGUAUGGUGUAUAAUCCUGGGGCUCAACGCCGGGUCGCACUGGAAAGUGGAUGGCUUGAGUGCAGAAGAGGAGAGUGGAAUUCCACGUGUAGCGGUGAAAUGCGUAGAGAUGUGGAGGAACACCAGUGGCGAAGGCGACUCUCUGGGCUGUAACUGACGCUGAGGCGCGAAAGCGUGGGGAGCAAAC
rnacentral:rRNA from 1 species